UGGGAUUCUAACAUUGUCCUCCUAUCAAGA
rnacentral:piRNA from 1 species